AUGUUUCAGCUCCUGGUGGUGCCACUGGCGGCAGGGCCAAUAGCCUUGCCCGGCUGCCCCGAAAGCUGCGGCCACAUUACCGUGCCGUACCCUUUCGGCAUCAGCAAAGGCUGCUUCCACGAGGGCUUUGGUCUCACCUGUGACGAGACGCAGUACCCACCGAGGCUGUUCUUGGGUGAUGGCAUGGAAGUGCUUGGCAUCUCCUUGACUGAUGGCACGGUGCGUAUCCGGAGCAAGGUUUUGCGAUCAAGCUUCUCUGAGUUCAACGGCUCAUGGUCCGGCCCUGCAGUAACCUGGCCCUUCUCGGUAUCAAGCGCGUGGAACUGGUUUGUGGCAAUUGGAUGCAACAUCGUAGCUCAGCUUGGCCAUCCAAGGGGGCUCCAUAGUCAGGACGGGAGCCAGACCAGCACCUGUGCCGCUGCGUGCCUGGACAACCAUCAAAACUUCACUGGCACAUCGUGCUCGGGCAUUGGCCGCUGCCGCGCAUCCAUCGUGUGGGAGCUGCCAUGCUAUGGCAUCCAAGUUACACCACUCGCUGCGCUGAGACCUGACUUGAAUUUAGAUGUUCAAGCUUGAACAGCGAUAGCUAUUACGUUUUCGGAGAUUAUGAAAAAAGACGGUGCCACUGUUCUCAAGGAUACGAGGGCAACUCUUAUAUCACUUAUGGGUGCCAAGAUAUCGAUGAGUGCCUACAACCAGAUGUUUAUCCCUGCAAUGGGACCUGCACCAAUAUGCCAGGGACAUACCGAUGCUCAGCAAAGAAAAGAAUCAUCAGCUUACCAGGUCUAAUUGCCAUAAUAGCAAUUGGUGCUUGUUUUGGCCUACUGUUUUCCCUCCUAGGUGUUGCCCAAAUCAUAAAAAAACUCAAGAAACAAAGGGCCAAGAAGUUGAGACAAAAAUUCUUUAAGAAAAACCAUGGACUGCUUCUGCAACAGUUAAUCUCUUCGAACAAAGAUAUAGCCGAAAAGAUGAAGAUUUUCAGCUUAGAAGAGCUAGAGCAAGCAACCAACAAAUUUGACCAUAAUCGGAUCCUUGGCGGUGGUGGGCAUGGCGUGGUGUAUAAAGGCAUCUUAUCUGAUCAACAUGUCGUGGCCAUCAAGAAGGCCAAGAUUGUCGUGCAGAGGGAAAUCGACCAGUUUAUAAAUGAGGUUGUCAUACUUUCACAGACAAACCAUAGGAAUGUGGUGAAGCUCUUUGGUUGCUGCCUCGAGACAGAAGUUCCUAUACUAGUUUAUGAGUUCAUAUCGAACGGAACUCUCUCGUGUCAUCUCCAUGACCAAAGUGAGAACCAUUUUUCAUGGAAAGAUCGACUGAGGAUUGCAUUGGAAACUGCAAGGGCGAUUACUUAUCUACACUCUGCUGCUUCCAUAUCAGUAUACCAUAGAGAUAUCAAAUGUGCCAAUAUACUACUUACUGAUACUUUAACAGCAAAAGUAUCUGAUUUUGGAGCAUCAAGGUCAAUUUCAAUAGACGAGACAGGAAUACUUACAGUUGUCCAAGGAACCUAUGGUUACCUUGAUCCCGAAUACUACUACACUAGUCGACUGACGGAGAAGAGUGAUGUUUACAGCUUUGGUGUCAUCCUAGCAGAGCUGCUGACAAGGGUGACACCAGUUUUUUCUUCUCAUUCAUCAAAAGGCACAAGCCUAGCAUCACAUUUUGUAUCACUAAUGAGCGACAAUCGCCUGUCAGACAUUCUUGAUGCACAAAUUGUUAAUGAAGGAGGAGUUGAAGAUGCUGAGGUGGUUGCAAGACUUGCAAAAGCAUGCUUAAGCUUAAAAGGGGAAGAACGACCUACAAUGAGGCAAGUGGAAACAACACUGGAAGAUGUGCAUAACUCAAAGGUCAAGCUCAGUUCUCCGAUUACAAGAGUGAACCAAAGUUCUUUGAAAGACCAGCCAUGGAUGGGGAACAAAGGCGGCGAAGGAACUAGGUUAUACAGCUUGGAAAAAGAGUUCAUCCAAUCAUCCGAAAUUCCAAGAUGA
rnacentral:rRNA from 1 species